GACGAACGCUGGCGGCGUGCCUAAUACAUGCAAGUUGAGCGCUGAAGGUUGGUACUUGUACCAACUGGAUGAGCAGCGAACGGGUGAGUAACGCGUGGGGAAUCUGCCUUUGAGCGGGGGACAACAUUUGGAAACGAAUGCUAAUACCGCAUAAAAACUUUAAACACAAGUUUUAAGUUUGAAAGAUGCAAUUGCAUCACUCAAAGAUGAUCCCGCGUUGUAUUAGCUAGUUGGUGAGGUAAAGGCUCACCAAGGCGAUGAUACAUAGCCGACCUGAGAGGGUGAGCGGCCACAAUGGGACGGAGACACGGCCCAAACGCCUACGGGAGGCAGCAGUAGGGAAUCUUCGGCAAUGGACGAAAGACUGACCGAGCAACGCCGCGUGAGUGAAGAAGGGUUUCGGAUCGUAAAACUCUGUUGGUAGAGAAGAACGUUGGUGAGAGUGGAAAGCUCAUCAAGUGACGGUAACUACCCAGAAAGGGACGGCUAACUACGUG
rnacentral:rRNA from 1 species